rnacentral:lncRNA from 1 species
CCCAACGACGGGUAAGGCCGAGUCAUCGUCAGGAACGACCUAAGACAGGAGCAAUGACAAGAUUGACGUGACACCGAGAUCUAGACCAGUCAUUUUAUUAAACAAAAAAGGGGGAGAUGUAGGGAGCGGUGCGACAGCUGUAUGAUAAUGAGGUGAAUCUGGCGCCCUCCUAACAACAGUACUGAGCAUGCGUGGAGUUUUACACCUGACAUCAGUCUGGCUGGGGUGGUACUAUGCUAAAUGGGAGUUCAUGCCUCGCCAAUCUCUGGAGGACAAGUAGCUGGGAUGGCAGUGGGGUGACUCGUGCCCCACCAAUCCCUGAAAGAAGAUUAGCAUACUGUUGUGUAUAUAAGCCGAGCGGCGCGGUAACACUUAAAGCUGUAACACUUGGAGCUGUAACACUUAGGGCUGGCUGCCGCCGCCUCCCUGUAUCAACA